rnacentral:rRNA from 1 species
UCCGUAGGUGAACCUGCGGAAGGAUCAUUAACACUAAUCCAAUCAACUCAACCGAGCCUAUAGUUGCAGCCCAGGUGUUCGCCGCAAGGCAGCGCCGCAGCAGCAACCACAACAAACCUAAUCACACAAAGGACUUUAACUAAGCCUUACCACAAAACCAAAUUCUCAACGAUGGAUAUCUUGGUUCCCAUAACGAUGAAGAACGCAGCGAAGUGCGAUAAGCAAUGCGAAUUGCAGAACCGUGAGUCAUCAGAUUUUUUGAACGCAACUGGCGCUGGUUGGUUAUCCAACCAGCAUGCUUGUUUCAGUGUCUCUUUAUCCCCUCACCCAAAUCUUAAUGCGAGAGAUACCCUUCUCUCGUCAAGCAAGAAAGCACUCUGCGCUCUGCGAGCGCCUUCGACUUGUUCGAGGGUCGCACUCAAUGCAGCAGUCACAUUGUUCACAAUGUGAACUCAUUGAGAGUAGAGGCAGUGCAGCCUUACCGCUGCCAGUGCUUAGACACUCAAACUUUUCUUGGUAUCUGGAAAUCAAGGCAGGGACCACCCGCUGAACUUAAGGCAUAUCAAUAAGGCGGGGAGGGGGAA